CCUACGGGUGGCAGCAGUGAGGAAUAUUCGUCAAUGGACGGGAGUCUGAACCAGCAAAGUAGCGUGAAGGAUGACUGCCCUAUGGGUUGUAAACUUCUUUUAUAAAGGAAUAAAACGCGGCACGUGUGCCUUUUUGCAUGUACUUUAUGCAUAAGAGUCAGCUAACUCCGUGCCAGCAGCCGCGGUAAUACGGAGGAGCCGAGCGUUAGCCGGAUUUAUUGGGUUUAAAGGGAGCGUAGAUGGGUUGGUAAGUCAGUUGUGAAAGUUUGCGGCUCAACCGUAAAAUUGCAAUUGAUACUGGUAGUCUUGAGUACAGUUGAGGUAGGUGGAAUUCGUGGUGUAGCGGUGAAAUGCUUAGAUAUAACGAAGAACCCCGAUUGCGAAGGCAGCUUACUAAACUGUGACUGACAUUGAUGCUCGAAAGUGUGGGUAGCAAACAGGAUUAGAUACCCGAGUAGUC
rnacentral:rRNA from 1 species